CUUCUGAGUACCCUCUGGGCUUAAGGCUGGUGAAGACUUGUUCACAGAUCAGCAUCAGUCUGAAGAAUAUAGAAACCAUUGCUCUGGCCAGUGCUUCUCAACCACACAGAUAAUAUAAUAAUAUUUGUAAGCACUCUCGAGUAGAAGAGUGAGGAUGCUCAUCACCAAAGACAGCAGGCUUAAGAGUCUGACCACCCCAAGACUCUGCCUCGCCAUCCCAAAGAGAAGACCUUUAAUAUUUCCACACAUCUGGAAUCCAUACCUGUUGCAAAUCUCUGUAUUAGAAACCCAACCCAGUCCAUGAUACAUGGAUUCUUGUUAGUGUUCAUCUCAGAAGUAUGCCUUUUCCUUACAUUGAGUUAGGACUACAUCUUCCUCUGGGGACUUUUGUCCUCUAACUGCAGUAAUACUGAAACAACUUAAGAGGACAAAGACCAAAUCGUUUUCAAGCCCCAUGAAGCAUUUCAAAAGUUCUACUCACAACAGGCCCCGGUGUGUGAUGUUCCCCUUCCUGUGUCCAUGUGUUCUCAUUGUUCAAUUCCCACCCAUGAGUGAGAACAUGCGGUGUUUGGUUUUUUGUCCUUGCAAUAGUUUGCUGAGAAUGAUAGUUUCCAGCUUCAUCCAUGUCCCUACAAAGGACAUGAACUCAUCAUUUUUUAUGGCUGCAUAGUAUUCCAUGGUGUCUAUGUGCCACAGAGUGGGGAGGG
rnacentral:lncRNA from 1 species